rnacentral:rRNA from 1 species
AACGAACGCUGGCGGCAGGCCUAACACAUGCAAGUCGAACGAACCUUUAUGGUGAGUGGCGCACGGGUGCGUAACACGUGGGAAUAUACACUUCGGUAAGGAAUAACGUAGAGAAAUUUACGCUAAUACCUUAUAAUGACUCCGGUCCAAAGAUUUAUCGCCGAAGGAUUAGCCCGCGCUAGAUUAGGUUGUUGGUGAGGUAAAGGCUCACCAAGCCUACGAUCUAUAGCUGGUCUGAGAGGAUGAUCAGCCACACUGGAACUGAGACACGGUCCAGACUCCUACGGGAGGCAGCAGUGAGGAAUAUUGCGCAAUGGAGGAAACUCUGACGCAGCCAUGCCGCGUGAGUGAAGAAGGCCCUAGGGUUGUAAAGCUCUUUCAGAUGCGAAGAUAAUGACGGUAACAUCAGAAG